rnacentral:rRNA from 1 species
AGAUUGAACGCUGGCGGCAUGCCUUACACAUGCAAGUCGAACGGUAGCAGGCCUUCGGGUGCUGACGUGUGGCGAACGGGUGAGUAAAGUAUCGGAACGUACCAUUCAGUGGGGGAUAACGUAGCGAAAGUUACGCUAAUACCGCAUAUUCUGUGAGCAGGAAAGCAGGGGAUCGCAAGACCUUGCGCUGAUUGAGCGGCCGAUAUCAGAUUAGCUUGUUGGUGAGGUAAGAGCUCACCAAGGCGACGAUCUGUAGCGGGUCUGAGAGGAUGAUCCGCCACACUGGAACUGAGACACGGUCCAGACUCCUACGGGAGGCAGCAGUGGGGAAUUUUGGACAAGUGGGCGCAAGCCUGAUCCAGGCCAUGCCGCGUGAGUGAAGAAGGCCUUGGUUAGUAAGCUCUUCGUACGACCGGAAGAAACGCGAGUAGGUAAUACCGUGUGU